GGCCGUGUGGCUCAAUGGCAGAGCGUCUGACUACGAGUGGCUUCAACUUGCCAUGUGUUAUCAGAAGGUCGCAGGUUCGACCCCUGUCUCGGUCA